rnacentral:tRNA from 1 species
UUUAAACCCUAAAUAUGAAUUAUAAAUUCUCAUAUUA